rnacentral:rRNA from 1 species
GUAAGCUACUAAGAGCGAAUGGUGGAUGCCUUGACUGGUAAAGGCGAUGAAGGACGUACUAGACUGCGAUAAGCUACGGGGAGCUGUCAAGAAGCUUUGAUCCGUAGAUUUCCGAAUGGGGCAACCCAAUGUAUAGAGAUAUACAUUACCUAUAUAGGAGCGAACGAGGGGAAUUGAAACAUCUUAGUACCCUCAGGAAAAGAAAUCAAUAGAGAUUGCGUCAGUAGCGGCGAGCGAAAGCGCAAGAGGGCAAACCCAGUGCUUGCACUGGGGGUUGUAGGACUGCAAUGUGCAAGAGGUGAGUUUAGCAGAACAUUCUGGAAAGUAUAGCCAUAGAGGGUGAUAGUCCCGUAUGCGAAAAACAAACCUUAGCUAGCAGUAUCCUGAGUAGGGCGGGACACGAGAAAUCCUGUCUGAAGCUGGGUCGACCACGAUCCAACCCUAAAUACUAAUACCAGAUCGAUAGUGCACAAGUACCGUGAGGGAAAGGUGAAAAGAACUGAGGUGAUCAGAGUGAAAUAGAACCUGAAACCAUUUGCUUACAAUCAUUCAGAGCCCUAUGUAGCAAUACAGGGUGAUGGACUGCCUUUUGCAUAAUGAGCCUGCGAGUUGUGGUGUCUGGCAAGGUUAAGCAAACGCGAAGCCGUAGCGAAAGCGAGUCUGAAUAGGGCGCUUAGUCAGAUGCUGCAGACCCGAAACGAAGUGAUCUAUCCAUGAGCAAGUUGAAGCUAGUGUAAGAACUAGUGGAGGACUGAACCCAUAGGCGUUGAAAAGCCCCGGGAUGACUUGUGGAUAGGGGUGAAAGGCCAAUCAAACUUCGUGAUAGCUGGUUCUCUCCGAAAUAUAUUUAGGUAUAGCGUUGUGUCGUAAUAUAAGGGGGUAGAGCACUGAAUGGGCUAGGGCAUACACCAAUGUACCAAACCCUAUCAAACUCCGAAUACCUUAUAUGUAAUCACAGCAGUCAGGCGGCGAGUGAUAAAAUCCGUCGUCAAGAGGGAAACAACCCAGACUACCAGCUAAGGUCCCUAAAUCUUACUUAAGUGGAAAACGAUGUGAAGUUACUUAAACAACCAGGAGGUUGGCUUAGAAGCAGCCAUCCUUUAAAGAAAGCGUAAUAGCUCACUGGUCUAGUGAUUUUGCGCGGAAAAUAUAACGGGGCUAAAGUAAGUACCGAAGCUGUAGACUUGCGCACAACUUAGAUUAUUUAAGUUUAGAAUAUGAGAAACUAAGUUAUAUGUUUAGUUAUAUUUUUACUGAUUUUUAUAGAGUAAAGAUAGAAAUAAAACUUAGUAAAAUCAGUAAAAAUAUUCUUAGACUAAAGUUAAGUAGUUUAAGUUGUGUGCAAGUGGUAGGAGAGCGUUCUAUUUGCGUCGAAGGUAUACCGGUAAGGAGUGCUGGAGCGAAUAGAAGUGAGCAUGCAGGCAUGAGUAGCGAUAAUUAAUGUGAGAAUCAUUAACGCCGUAAACCCAAGGUUUCCUACGCGAUGCUCGUCAUCGUAGGGUUAGUCGGGUCCUAAGUCGAGUCCGAAAGGGGUAGACGAUGGCAAAUUGGUUAAUAUUCCAAUACCAACAUUAGUGUGCGAUGGAAGGACGCUUAGGGCUAAGGGGGCUAGCGGAUGGAAGUGCUAGUCUAAGGUCGUAGGAGGUUAUACAGGCAAAUCCGUAUAACAAUACUCCGAGAACUGAAAGGCUUUUUGAAGUCUUCGGAUGGAUAGAAGAACCCCUGAUGCCGUCGAGCCAAGAAAAGUUUCUAAGUUUAGCUAAUGUUGCCCGUACCGUAAACCGACACAGGUGGGUGGGAUGAGUAUUCUAAGGCGCGUGGAAGAACUCUCUUUAAGGAACUCUGCAAAAUAGCACCGUAUCUUCGGUAUAAGGUGUGGUUCGCUUCGUAUUAGGAUUUACUCCGAAAGCGAAGAAACUUACAACAAAGAGUCCCUCCCGACUGUUUACCAAAAACACAGCACUCUGCUAACUCGUAAGAGGAUGUAUAGGGUGUGACGCCUGCCCGGUGCUCGAAGGUUAAUUGAUGGGGUUAGCAUUAGCGAAGCUCUUGAUCGAAGCCCGAGUAAACGGCGGCCGUAACUAUAACGGUCCUAAGGUAGCGAAAUUCCUUGUCGGUUAAAUACCGACCUGCAUGAAUGGCGUAACGAGAUGGGAGCUGUCUCAAAGAGGGAUCCAGUGAAAUUGUAGUGGAGGUGAAAAUUCCUCCUACCCGCGGCAAGACGGAAAGACCCCGUGGACCUUUACUACAGCUUGACACUGCUAUUUGGAUAAGAAUGUGCAGGAUAGGUGGGAGGCUUUGAGUAUAUGACGCCAGUUGUAUAUGAGCCAUUGUUGAGAUACCACUCUUUCUUAUUUGGGUAGCUAACCAGCUUGAGUUAUCCUCAAGUGGGACAAUGUCUGGUGGGUAGUUUGACUGGGGCGGUCGCCUCCCAAAUAAUAACGGAGGCUUACAAAGGUUGGCUCAGAACGGUUGGAAAUCGUUCGUAGAGUAUAAAGGUAUAAGCCAGCUUAACUGCAAGACAUACAAGUCAAGCAGAGACGAAAGUCGGUCUUAGUGAUCCGGUGGUUCUGUGUGGAAGGGCCAUCGCUCAAAGGAUAAAAGGUACCCCGGGGAUAACAGGCUGAUCUCCCCCAAGAGCUCACAUCGACGGGGAGGUUUGGCACCUCGAUGUCGGCUCAUCGCAUCCUGGGGCUGGAGCAGGUCCCAAGGGUAUGGCUGUUCGCCAUUUAAAGCGGUACGCGAGCUGGGUUCAGAACGUCGUGAGACAGUUCGGUCCCUAUCUGCCGUGGGCGUAAGAAGAUUGAAGAGAUUUGACCCUAGUACGAGAGGACCGGGUUGAACAAACCACUGGUGUAGCU